UACCUGCAGCUCAAGUGGUGACCACUAUUAUUGGGCCUAAAACGUUUGUAGCCGGUUUAUUAAAUGCUUGGGUAAAUCGUGUAGCUUAACUAUACGAAUUCCGGGUAGACUGAUAGACUUGAGACCGGGAGAAGCUAGAGGUACUCCUGGGGUAGAGGUGAAAUUCUGUAAUCCUGGGGGGACCACCAGUGGCGAAGGCGUCUAGCUAGAACGGGUCUGACGGUGAGGAACGAAGCCCUGGGGUGCAAACCGGAUUAGAUACCCGGGUAGUCCAGGGUGUAAACGCUGCUUGCUUGAUGUUAGUUGGGCUCCGAGCCCAAUUAGUGUCGGAGAGAAGUUGUUAAGCAAGCUGCCUGGGAAGUACGAUCGCAAGAUUGAAACUUAAAGGAAUUGGCGGGGGAGCACAGCAACGGGUGGAGCGUGCGGUUU
rnacentral:rRNA from 1 species